rnacentral:rRNA from 1 species
UAGGGAAUCUUCCGCAAUGGGCGAAAGCUUGACGGAGCAACGCCGCGUGAGUGAUGAAGGUCUUCGGGUCGUAAAACUCUGUUAUUAGGGAAGAACAAAUGUGUAAGUAACUAUGCACGUCUUGACGGUACCUAAUCAGAAAGCCACGGCUAACUACGUGCCAGCAGCCGCGGUAAUACGUAGGUGGCAAGCGUUAUCCGGAAUUAUUGGGCGUAAAGCGCGCGUAGGCGGUUUUUUAAGUCUGAUGUGAAAGCCCACGGCUCAACCGUGGAGGGUCAUUGGAAACUGGGAAACUUGAGUGCAAGAGGAAAGUGGAAUUCCAUGUGUAGCGGUGAAAUACGCAGAGAUAUGGAGGAACACCAGUGGCGAAGGCGACUUUCUGGUCUGUAACUGACGCUGAUGUGCGAAAGCGUGGGGAUCAAACAGG